AUGAACGCUGGCGGCGUGCCUAAUCCAUGCACGUCGAGCGAACAGAUGAGGAGCUUGCUCCUCUGACGUUAGCGGCGGACGGGUGAGUAACACGUGGAUAACCUACCUAUAAGACUGGGAUAACUUCGGGAAACCGGAGCUAAUACCGGAUAAUAUAUUGAACCGCAUGGUUCAAUAGUGAAAGACGGUUUUGCUGUCACUUAUAGAUGGAUCCGCGCCGCAUUAGCUAGUUGGUAAGGUAACGGCUUACCAAGGCAACGAUGCGUAGCCGACCUGAGAGGGUGAUCGGCCACACUGGAACUGAGACACGGUCCAGACUCCUACGGGAGGCAGCAGUAGGGAAUCUUCCGCAAUGGGCGAAAGCCUGACGUAGCAACGCCGCGUGAGUGAUGAAGGUCUUCGGAUCGUAAAACUCUGUUAUUAGGGAAGAACAAAUGUGUAAGUAACUAUGCACGUCUUGACGGUACCUAAUCAGAAAGCCACGGCUAACUACGUG
rnacentral:rRNA from 1 species